rnacentral:rRNA from 1 species
GACGAACGCUGGCGGCGUGCUUAACACAUGCAAGUCGAACGGAAAGGCCCUGCUUUUGUGGGGUGCUCGAGUGGCGAACGGGUGAGUAACACGUGAGUAACCUGCCCUUGACUUUGGGAUAACUUCAGGAAACUGGGGCUAAUACCGGAUAGGAGCUCCUGCUGCAAGGUGGGGGUUGGAAAGUUUCGGCGGGUGGGGAUGGACUCGCGGCUUAUCAGCUUGUUGGUGGGGUAGUGGCUUACCAAGGCUUUGACGGGUAGCCGGCCUGAGAGGGUGACCGGCCCCAUUGGGACUGAGAUACGGCCCAGACUCCUUCGGGAGGCAGCAGUGGGGAAUAUUGCACAAUGGGCGGAAGCCUGAUGCAGCAACGCCGCGUGCGGGAUGACGGCCUUCGGGUUGUAAACCGCUUUCGCCUGUGACGAAGCGUGAGUGACGGUAAUGUGUAAAGAAGCACCGGCUAACUACGUG